CUUUAAUGGCAAGGCAAUGGCUUUCCAUGCUGGUGCUCUCAUUCCAGAGAUGGCUGUCUGAAUAUGAUCCCCAAGUCCAGGGAGCUGAAUGAUUCACUUCUCCCACUAACCGGAGAUGAGAUUUUGGUUGAAGGUGAGUGAGGUGAACUACCAAAUCUACUUGGUCUAUUUUCCUUUGCUUUCUUGAUAAUAGCGUAACAUUUAUAACUGCCUAUUAUGUGCUAGGCAUGCAUUAGGAACCAGACAUAAUUUAUUCACAUUUAAUACAACAACCUUAAGAAGUUUAUAAAGCUAUCAUAUUUUUAGAGGUCACUAAUUUAGCAAAUGACAACGUUGUGAGAGAUCCUAAAUCUAAUGGCCUCAGAUUUCUUCUAUAUUAUAUUCCAGGGCCUGUGAGUAAUUAUUUAACUACCUUCUAGUAGUUAAUUACCUAGUUAAAUAGUUAAUACUUAAAUAAAUACUUAAAUACCUAGUUAAAUAGUUAAUAGUUACAUACCUAGAGGUAUUGUUAUUCAUAUUAAAAGGCACACAUUUUUAAAAGCCUAUUAAGGCAUAUUCUUCUAUUUUUAGUGGGACUCUAUUAUUUAAACCACUACUGAGUUAGAGUUGGUUUUAGGCAAAACAGGACUAUGGACUUUUCUGGAUUUCUUUCUGUCAGACUUUUUUUUAAUUUUUUUUUUAAUUUUUUUUUCAACGUUUAUUUAUUUUUGGGACAGAGAGAGACAGAGCAUGAACGGGGGAGGGGCAGAGAGAGAGGGAGACACAGAAUCAGAAACAGGCUCCAGGUUCUGAGCCAUCAGCCCAGAGCCUGACGCGGGGCUCGAACUCCCGGACCGCGAGAUCGUGACCUGGCUGAAGUCGGACGCUUAACCGACUGCGCCACCCAGGCGCCCCCAGACUUUUUUUUUAAAGAAUGUUUUUUUAAUGUUCAUUUAAUUUUGACAGAGAGAGACAGAAUGUGAGCAGGGAGAGGCAGAGACAGAGAGAGACAGAAUCUGAAGCAGGCUCCAGGCUCUGAGCCAUCAGCACAGAACCCUAUGCGGAUAUCGAACCCAUGAACCGAAACAUCAUGACCUGAGCUGAACUUGGAUGCUUAACCAACUCUUUCUGCUGGAUUUUAAUAACAAUAUAUAUUUUUAUGGUUCUACAGGCUCCAAAGAACAUCAAAGCUAUAAAGUUGCAUUAUCUCUAUGACCUUCUUGGAAUUUAGGUAGCAAUUCAAUCCUCAUUUUAUAGAUUUGAAAAUCCAAAAAUUUAACUUGCCCCAAAUUCUAAAAGUCAUUUUAAAAAAGGAAUUAAAUAAAAGACCUCUAAUUCUCAAGGCUAUCCCCUUUCUUUUAUAUUUUAUUGCUUUUAUUCCACUCCCCAAUCCCUUUUUCUCUUUAAUUUCAGGUGACCAGUAUGCUCAAAUGGCUCCUGACUCUCCAGAGUAUUUAUACAAGGAUACUUUAGUACCUGCAGAUGACAGUGAGGGUCAUAGGUUAAGCCAGUUUUCUAUGAAAUCCCCUGACUCAUUCAAAGGUCUUUUCCCUGAGGCUCAUCUUCUCAAGAUAUUUUUUUUUUUUCAGAUUGUUCUUACUUUUCACCUGAAAGCUCAUGUGCCAUUAUAAGUUUUGAACACUGAGAAACAGGCACCUAGUUUCAUCUACUAUCCACCAUUCACCCGUUGUUUUUGUUUUUGUUUUUUGUUGUUUUUUUUUUUAGGGGGGGGCGCAUUUUCACUUUAUCUCUGACUAAUUCCCACUGUAAAGCAGAAUGACGUGUAGGCAAUGGCCACAAUAACUUAAAAGUUAACAAAAAUCUCAGUAAGUUUAAAAUCCCCAAUAUGUUGAGGGAAUAAUAGUAUACGUUUGAAAUAGCACACAAGAAGUAAUGAAACACAAAAAAGGAACAUGCAUCAAGGCCUGAUGACAUAAAAAGUAGCCAGUAAUUGGAAAGAAUACAUAUACAAUUAUUAAAAUAAAAAGUAUGCACAAUAGCUACAGUAACAGCUAGCCUAGGCAUAGUUAAAGAGUGUAUUUGUAAACUGGAAAACAGUUUAUGAUCCAUUGUCUAUCUAUGUUGAUUACAGAACAAGAAAAUACUAGAUGACGAGUCUUAAUAAAAGGCAAAACUUCGGAGUCUACCAGAACAUCUUUUUCUUAGUAGGAUCUUCUCUUGUAUGUUGAGCAUGUAGACAAGUCCAUAUGCUAUUUUACGGUUUUGCAACCUUCAUUUGGUUAUUAAAACAUUUUUAGUCAGAACUGCUAAUUUCGAAUGCAAGGCAGAAUCCAACCCCAGAAUUUCCCCCAUUCUUGAUGAUAACACAGUGGUUCUGAAAAUAAACCUUCUCUUUUUUACUGGCCUUUGGAGGAGUGUUGAUGCUAUAGCAAUAUGGAAAAGAAGGCAUGGUUGAUGAGAUUGUUCUAAUCUUAAGAAAAUGCAAGAGUCCCAAGUCACAUGCUUGACUUUGAAUUUCACGGGAGUCUACUAUUGGGAAUGAAAUUAUUUUCUAUGCCUACUUGGGCACUUGCUCGUAUGCAGUGUGGGGCAACUGUUGCCCUGCUAAUAGAAGGUUCCUUCAACUGUGAAGUAGUAUUUCUAAUAAGUAUUUCUAGCCGUGAGGUAUUGGCUAAUAGUUGUUUAUUAAUUGAGAUUAUACCCUUUUCUACUGGAGAUGUGAAAGUAAUCCUACCUUACAACAUAAUAGAUUUCUAUUUCACUUGUGUCUUUAGUUUUUUUGUUUUUUUUUUUUGGAAAUCAUAUAAUUUUAAUCUCAAAUAUUCACUAAUGGAACAAAAUCUCUGCAGGAAGCCCAUUUUGGUAUCAAAAAUAUCCACCCCUGACCAUAUUCUUGCUGAUUUUACUUCUUGGUUACAACCAUUUAAUGAUAAUAGAAUGAGAAGUGAAGAGGAAAUUAGUUAUAUAACACCGUCGAAAAUAUUUCAAUGGUAAUGUUUUAAAUAUUUAAUAGAUAUGAAUUACCAUUACAUGUUCUAAAAUAUUGGAAAUGUACAAAAAGAAGCCUUGUUCUCUUUAAGUGCAUUCAGGAAAAAGUCAUUUAGAUUAAAAAAGUUAUAUUCCCAGGAGGAAAAUCAUAGAAUUUUGAGAUUCUUAUGCCUCCACCUAUUAUGUAGUUACUUAUUAAGUAACAGGUUUUUGUAGGAAUAAAAUGUUAUUGUUAUUCAUUCCAAACAAUUGGACUGACGGUAUUAUCAAUUUUCAAAAGUACAGUGCUGAGUUUGUACCGGUUUUACAAAUGGUUUAUUCUUUUGUUAAAAUGUUUGUUUUUUCUUACUGUAACAAGCAAUUGUAUUCUGAAAUAAAUAUUACAGUGUUCUUAGCAAUGUUACAAGUAUAUCAGUGCUUCUUAAUGUAGAUUACUUUAAGUACCAUUUAUAUAUUGUCUCAGAGACAAUAAAUGUCAUCUGAUUUCUGCUUCAUUAUGUUUAAGAUAUGGUAACUGAGAAGAUACUAUCAGGUCAUUUGUUUUUACUCCUACUAUGGGAUUGCUAAUAUUUUAAAAAGUUAGUUGCAGUUAAAAGUUUUAUCUGUCCUUUGAUUUAUAUAAUGUAAGUCAGGGCAAUGCAAUUUGGCACAAUAUUGAGAUUCACUGUGAAAUUAUACUCAUCAUUUGAGGCCCAGACUGAAUCACAUCGCUGCUAGAGGCAUUUAUCUUAUUAAAUUCAUGGCAUACAAAGUUCAGAAUAAACCUUAGAACUCAUCAUGUCAUACCCCUAGACCAGAAUUUCUCAAAUGCUUUUGUAUCAACCUUCCAUCAGCAGCACAUCUCAAAAUCACCCAUAAAAUCACACUCUUAAAAGGGUGAAGCCCAGAAAUCUGAAUUUAGAUUGGCACUCCAAGAAAUAUUAUGCAUUAUAAAAUUGUCAAACCACCACUCCAGCUGGGCUUGAAGUCCUUCUUUGACAACUUUUCCAAUGGUUGAAUAUCUUUGGAGGAAAAAAAAAAAAGUGCCACUACACUACACUCAAAUGAUGCUCAUAAUCUAGGUAGUUCUAUUGUAAAUAUAAAUAUACUUUAUACUUUGUCAAACUUUGUUGCUUCCACGUGUGUCAGCUUUCUAAAACUACAAUGAAACUUCUAAUUUUUCAAGCACAUUUUAACAAUUGAUGUAAUAUUAGUUGGUUAUAUCCUUGCAUUCUUCAGUUUGAAUGGAUACUUUUCUCCCUCUCUCAUGACACCAUUUCAGGUUUCCUAACUCCAUGACCAUACAGACUUUUUAAUAUUCUGGAGCAUAGUUUUAUGCUACUCUUCAUGCAGAGGGUACAAAAUCGAACACAAUCUUUUCAAUGAUAGGAUGGGUCUCACAAAUUAAAGGAAAUGAUAAAUAAAUAUAGAAAUAGAAUUUAAGAGGAAAUUAACAUCUCUGAAAUGCUGUGUCACUGGCAUUGCUAAGUUCUAAAUAUUCAUCAUUUUAUGCAAACCUGUGCUAAACAUAAGAGGCAGGGAAUUUCUUAUUAAAUGAUUUUUCAUAUUUUUCUUGAUAUCAAACCUUAAACUAUGGUUGCACUGGUAUUCAAAACCUGGUCUAUUUGUCACCAGUGCUUGUGUUUGCUUUCUACAUACUAUGCUUAUAAAGGGAUUUAUUAUUAUCUCUAUCCUAAACAAUGAAAGUUCUGUUGACCUCAAGGGUAUCUGUAUUUGUUCAGAAACAUGUGAGCAGUAUCAUUUUUAGACAUAUAAAAUAAUGAAAUCUCAUGAUAUCUAAUUAAAAUAAGCAAUACUAAGAUUAUCAAAUGUAUUAUAAGGACUAAUUGUUUAAGGCCUUAAAGUUAAGGACAAGAUCCAAAAAGCUUCUGGGAGUAUAAACAGAGCAUGUACAAAAAAAGAGAAAUAGAAAGUCUUCAGAAUCCCCAGCAAUAACAUUGGGAAUAGAAUAGUUUCUACAUUUUGACUGAAAAUACAGAAAAAGGAAUAAUGGGUCCUGGGGUGUUAUGUAAGAAAAAUUGAGAAUUGAGAAAAGAAAAUAGUACUUUAUAACUACAUUGAGAGAAAUGUGGUUAGGUUUCUUCCUUCCCUUUUUUUUUCUUUCCUUCUUUCUUUCCUUCCUCCUUUCCUUUCUUUCUUUUUCUUUGUUUUUUUUUUUAAUUUCUUUCCUUUUAAAAUUGAACAAGAAAAGUAAGUUACUAACAAGGAAAGCAAAUAUUAACUUCAAGGAAAAUAAUAAUAAAAGCAAAAUAAAUUUUCAUAAAAAUAAAACUAUAUUUUAUUGUACAUGGCUCAUGUACAAGCAACCUAUCUGUUUCCUAAUGCAUUCAAUGUUUAAUAUUGAUAGAGGUGAAAUUUUCAAUAUAAAGAUAUUUGAAAAAAUGGAGAUGUGAUUGUGUUUAUGUGUGUUUGAGCAAGGUCAAUGAAACUCAUCUUCGGUAAGAAAAAUUUCACAGAUAAUUUUCUAAAAGGAAAUUUUAAAAGCAUUUAAAACACAGUUUAUUUUUAUUUUUUAAAUAUAAUUUAUUGUCAAAUUUGCUAACAUCCAGUGUAUACAGUGUGCUCUUGGCUUUGGAGGUAGGUUCCUGUGGUCCAUUGCUUACAUACAACACUCAGUGCUCAUCCCAACAAGUGCCCUCCUCAAUGUUCAUCACCCAUUUUUUCCUCUACCCCCCACAUCUACCCUCAGUUUGUUCUCAGUACUUAAGAGUCUCUUAUAGUUUGCCUCCCUCCCUCUCUGUUUAUGACUCUUUUUUCCCCUUCCUUUCCCCCACGGUCUUCUGUUAAGGUUCUCAAGUUCCAAGUGAAAGUUUUCAAGUGAAACAUAUGAUAUCUGCCCUUCUCUGACUGACGUGUUUCACACAGCAUAAUACCUUCCAGUUCCAUCCAUGUUGCUGCAAAUAGCAUGAUUUCAUUCUUUCUCAUUGCCAAGUAGUACUCCAUCGUAUAUAUAAACCACAUCUUCUUUAUACAUUCAUCAGUUGAUGGACAUUUAGGCUCUUUUCAUAAUUUGACUAUUGUUGAAAGUGCUGCUAUAAAUAUUGGGGUACACGUGCCCCUGUGAAUCAGCACUCCUGUAUCCUUUGGAUAAAUUCCCAGAUUGCUGGGUCUUUGUGCCUGAGAUCAGUGACACAGCAGGGAUUUCCACUUUUACCAUUAUUGUUUAACAUAGGGUUGGAAGUCCUAGAAUCAGCAAUUAGACAACAAAAUGAAAUAAAAUGCAACAAAAUUGGCAAAGAAGGAGUCAAAUUGACACUUUUUGCAGACAACAUUAUAUUUUACAUGGAAAACCUGAAAGACUCCAUCAAAAGGCUACUAGAGCUGAUACCUGAAUUCAGCAAAUUUUCAGGAUACAAAAUCAAUGUACAGAAAUCGGUUGCAUUUCUAUACACCAAUAAUGAAGCAACAGAAAGAUAAAUCAAGAAACUGAUUUCAUUCACAAUUGCAGCAAGAACUAUAAAAUACCCAAGAAUAAACUUAACCAAAGAUGUAAAAUAUCUGUAUGCUGAAAACUUUAGAAAACUUAUGAAGGAAAUUGAAGUAGAUACAAAGAAACAGAAAAACAUUCCGUGCUCAUGGAUUGGAAGAAUAAACAUUGCUAAAAGUCAAUACUGUCCAAAGCAAUCUACACAUUCAAUGCAAUCCCAAUCAAAAUUGCACCGGCAUUCUUCUCAAAGCUAGAACAAAUAAUCCUAAAGUUUGUAUGGAAUCAAAAAAGACCCCAAGUAGCCAAAUAAUAUUGAAAAAGAAAACCAAAGUGGGAGGCAUCAGAAUCCCAGACUUUAACCUCUACUACAAAGCUGUCAUCAUCAAGACAGUAUGGUACUGGCACAAAAAAACGGACACAUACAUGAAUGGAAUAGAAUAUAAGACCCAGAAUUGGACCCACAAAUGUAUGCCCAACUACUCUUUGACAAAGCAGGAAAGAGUAUCCAAUAGAACAAAGACAGUAUCUUUAGCAAAUGUUGCUGGGAGAACUGGACAGCAAAAUGCAGAAGAAUGAAACUAGACAGCUUUCUUACACCAUACACACACACACACACACACACACACACACACACACACAAAACCUCAAAAUGGAUGAAAGAUCUAAAUUUGAGACAGGAAACCAUCAAAACCCUAGAGGAGAAAGCAGGCAACAACCUUUCUGACCUUAGCCACAGCAAAUUCUUGCUCGACACAUCUCCAAAGGCAAGGGAAUUAAAAAUGCAUUUUAAAAGUAUACUGUUUUCUUUCAAUUUCAGCUCCAAUAUAUAAAGAGCUUGGAAGCCAUCACUCCCACUCUUACAUUAAGAAAAAGCUGAUGUGGUGUCUGAGUGGCUCAGUCAGUUGAACAUCAGACCUUGGCUCAGGUCAUGAUCUCACAUUCCUUGGGUUUGAGCCCCACGUGAGACCCUGUGCUGAUAGCCAGAGCCUGGAGCUUGCUUCAGAUUCUGUGUCUCCCUCUCUCUCUGCCCAUGUCUCCCUCUCUCUCUGCCCCUGCCCCACUGAUACUCUCUGUGUGUCUUUCUCUAAAAUUAAAAGUUUAAAAAAAUUAAAAAAAAUAAAAAGAUGAAAAAACUGAUAAUUAAUGACUUUUACAGAAUUCAUGAAAUAACUGAGGUCCAGUGCAAACUGUCACCCUAAAAUGUAGAGAGGCAGGUGAUUCCAGAGGAUCAUAGCUGCUUCCUUCUUACCUGGACCAGAGACACUAGAACCAUAACUUGAUAGGAAUGCUUGAGUGUAGACUAGUUUUGUAGACAAAACAAAACUCCUGGUGACUGCAGUGUUUUUUGUGUGUAUGUGGUUGAUUGUAGAUGGGGCAGGGGAGAGUUUUACCUCCAGGAACCACACCAGGUGGUUUGACUCAUGAAAAGAGUCAAAAAAGAUUGCCUCAAAUCUCUGUCAAUUUCAGGGAAGGAAUAACCACUGGGAAAUACACAUACAAGAUUAUACACAUGAAAUACCUUCCAGAAAAUAGAAACAGAAGGAACAUUUUCUAAGACAUCUUAUAAAACUACCACCAUAUGUAAUAUAAAAAGGCCAAAGAAGAAAAGUCAUAUGAUUGUAUCAAUCACUAUAGAAAAAAAAAAAAACAAAAAACAUUUGACACAAUCCAGCAUUCAUUCAGGAUAAAAACAAUCAAUAUACAAGAAUUUGAGGGGAGCUUUCUCAAUUGUAUAGAGCACAUACAAAAAAAACCCUACAGUUAACAAUAAAUUUAGUGGUGAGAAACAAUUCUUUCACCUUAAAAUCACAAUGAAUCAAUAAUAUCUUUUCUUAUCAAUCAUAUGCAGCAACAUACUAGAAUUCUUAGCUAGUACGAUAAGCAAGAAAAAAUAAAGCAAUACAUAUAAUAAUAUUUUAUAUGUAAAAUAUAUAAAAAAUAGAUUUCUAUAUAUCAUAUAUAUACAUAUAUAUAUGGAAGAAAGGAAGAAACAAAGUUAUCUUUUUUCAUAGGUGAUAUCAAUAUGUAGAAAAUCCCAGAGAAUCCACAAAAAUAAAGAAAUAAAACCUCCUCAAAUAAGUUACUACAGCAAAGAUACAGGAUACAUGGCUAAUAUACAAAAGUCAAUUGUUUUCCUGUAUAUCAGCAAUGAAAACCUGGAAAUUUGAAAUUACUGAAAUUUUUGAAAUAUAAUUUAUGAUGAACUCCCCCUUUAAAAAAUAAAUAUUUAGGUAUAAAUCUGACACAAUAUUUACGAGACUUGCAUGCAGAUUCCUACAUAUUCCGUAUUGUUAAAUAAGAUGUCAAUUCUCAACUUGAUGAAUAGAUUUAGUGCAAUUCCAAUAAAAUCCCAAGAAGCUAAUCUAUGCAUAUCCACAAAUGUAUUACAAAGGGUACAGGCGAGGGACCUAGGAAAACUACACAAUACCGAACUAGAGGAAUCAAGUUGGAGAAGUUAUACAACCUGAUUUCAAAAUUUAUCACAAAGCUAAAAUAAAACAGCAUAGAAUUUGUCCAAGAAUAUAAGCAUAGAACAGAGUCCAGAAGAUCCGCAUAAAUAUAGUAAAUGGCAUCUUACAAAAAAGCAAAGGCAAUCAAUGGAGAAGAAAUAGGCUUUUCAAUAAAUGGUUCUGAUACAUAUGCAAGAAAAAUAAAGCCAUAUAGAGACCUUGUAUGUUUCAUAAGAGUAACUCAUGAUGAAUCAUGGAUGAAAAUGUGAAAUGAAAAUCUAUAAAACUUCCAGAAAAAAAAAAUAGAAUAUCUAAGUGAGAUUCGCUUUGGCAGUGAGAUUUUAGAUACAACACCAAAAGUAUGACCAAUGAAAGAACAAUAAGUUGAACCAUAUUAAAAUUAAAAAUCCCUUCUCUUGUAAUGUAAGAGAAUGCAAAUACAAGACUCAGACAAUAGAAAAUAUUUGCAAAACACAUAUAUGAUAAAGGAUUAUCUCCAUAUCUCAUAUAUCUCAUAUAUCUCCAUAUAUGAUAAAGGAUUAUCUCCAAAGUUUACAAACAGCUCUUAAAACAAUACACGGCCCACUUUAAAAGUGGACAGAAGAUCUGAACAGAGACCUCUCCAAAGAAGCUAUGCAUAUAGCAAAUGAGCAUGUGAAAAGAUGCUUAAAGAUGUAUGUUAGGAAAUUUACCAACUAAAGCAACAUAAUACUCUUAUACAGCUUUCAAAUGCCUAUAAUCCAAAAAACACUGGCAGUACAAGUUCUGAAGCAAAGAUGCAAAUCACCAGAAACUCACUUCUUGCUAAUGGUUAUGCAAAAUGUUAUAGCCACUUUGGAGACAGUUUGGCAGUUUAUUACAAAGCUAAACAUAGUCUUACCAUAUGAUUCAGGAAAUACACUCCAGAGCAUUUACAAAACUUACUUGAAAUCUUAUAUCCACACAAACAAACUUCACGUGAAUGUUUAUAGUAACUUUACUCAUAAUCGUCAAAAAAGCUGGAGGUAACUAAGAUGCUCUUCAACGGGUGAAUGGAUAAAGAAAAUGUAAUACCCUUUGUAGAAUGGAUUAAUAUUCAGUGAUUAAAAUACAAGCAAUCAAGCCAUAAAAACACAUUCAUGAAUGUUAAAUACAUAUUGAUCAGUGAAAGGAGCCAGUCUGAAAAGGCGAUAGACCCUACAGUCUCAAAUAUAUCACGGUUUGGAAACAGUAAAACUAUCGUUUAUGGCAAAAGGUUUAAUGGUUACCAGGAAUUUGGGGAAGGAGAGAAAGAUUGAAUAGAAGGAGCACAUACUCUGCUUAGGUCUGUGAGUUUAUCGGGAGUAAUUCCGUAGUUCUAGACGCAUGGUGGUAUAAAUUUGUUAAAAUGCAUAGAACUUCACCUUAAGAUUAUAAUAAAUUGGAACUUCACGUAUGCAAAUUAAAGAAAUCCCCUAAGAAGUUGGGAAUCCCAGGCUGGGAUGCAGAAUGUGACACAAAAAUCUAUAUUACACAUGUAUAAAACAACCUCUCUAAAAUGGUGGAAGAAAUGUUGACCUUUGUGACUUUGCCGAUGAGUGGAGUAUGAAAGAUUAAAGGCAAAAGAAGCUAUACAUAAGCACUGUAUUCUAGUUGAUAAAGCUCUCUCACUAUGGCACACAUGAGCAAGUCUAAUACUGUCCUAUAUGUGUACUGGAAUGGAACUGUUAAGUAAAUGAAUGGGGGAUGUUGAGCCAGAUUUCUCUUUGUGGGUUCAAAGAUAAGCAAGGGGAAGAGGCUAGAAGGAUCCCCUUUUUUAAUAGAUUAAAGGUGGAAACAUCAGUGUGAACUCAUGUUUAGCUUACUAUAGGUAUAGUUGGCUACUUGUACAAAUAUUUAGAUAUAAGACAGAGAUAAGUACAUAGAUUAGUCUCCACAUAGAUUUUCUUGCUCUGUCAUCUGAGAGAACCUAGAAACACUAACAGUGCAGUAGCAAGGAGCACCCUAAGGGCACAAAUCCAGGUUGAUAACACUAUUCUCCAAUAAAAAGACUUAGAUCUUGAAAAAAAAAAUGGCUGAUGCUAAGACAGGGGCAUGAAAUAUAUAAGAUGAUCCUGGAACAUCAUCUUGGAGUGCCAGAAAGUAAAGACAUACUGAACAAUAAAACAAAACAAAGCAAAGAACAACAACACCAAAAAUGUCCACAUUGAUGUCUAAAGGUCAUGGCAGCACUGAAAGAGGUUCGAUGGCCACGGUUGGAAAAUUUGACAGAAUACAUCAAGUACUAUUGAAUUAUACCACAAAGCACAAAAUGAAUAUCUAUAAAUCAUUCUGAUAUAAAUAAAUACUUAAACAAAUACAUGGGAAAGAAGUAAAUCUAUGAAGAAAACACCAAUAGUUUAUGUAGCUCUCCCUCAAAAUAAAGCAUCCCUCCCCAAACCUUAAGUGUAUGCUGUAUAUAAUCACUUCCUGCCCAAGAGUACAGUAUGGAGAGGGAGGGCUUCCAGUAAAGAAACUGACUGCCUCAGCCAGACGGUCCAGGUCAACAUCAACUGUGACAAUUCAGGCUGAUAGUAUGUAUUUUUUAUGUGAUGCGAUGUGAUUUUUUUAUUUUUGCCGUCUUCCUCCCCCAAACUCAUAACCCAGUCUAAUCAUGAGAGAAACAUCAUAAAAAUCCCAGCUGAGGUAUAUCCAACGAAUUACCUGACCAGUACUACACAGAGUGGUCAAGGUCAUUAAAACAGGGAAAGUCUCUGAAACCGGUACAGCCCAGAGGAGUUCACAACAGCCUAUGUCUAGACGUAAUGUGAUAUUCUAGAUGGGAGCUUGGAACAGAGAAAGGUCAUUAGGCAAUGCUAAUGUAUGAAGCUAUAAACAUGACAUAUGAAUGUAAGAUGUUACCAGUAAGGGAAACUAGGUGAGGGAUAUAUGAGAACUUUCUGUACUACCCUUUCAACUUUUCUGUAAACCUAAAAGCAUACUUAAAAAAUGGAUUGAAUAAUAUUCAUUUUCUAAAAAAAAAUAAUUGAUGUUUAUUUAUUUUUGAAAGAGAGAGAGUGUGAGCAGGAGAGGGGCAGAGAGAGAAGGAGGCAUAGAAUCCAGAGUAGGCUCUAGUCUCUGAGCUGUCAGCACAGAGCCCGAUGGGGGUCUCAAACUCAAGAACAGCAAGAUCAUGACCUGAGCUAAUGUCAGACGCUUAACUGACUUAGCCACCCAGGUGCCCCUAAAAAACGCAUUUUUCAAGGAAAAUUCAGGUGAACAGAGAAGACAGAUCUCAAAAUGCUUGCUUCUUAGGAGCAGGGAUUCAGCUGUUGGGAAUCGUAGGACAAAAGAUAAUGGCUUCCCUUUUUUUAAACUUGUAGUGGUUUCCAAUAAAGUAAAUUAUGCACAUGACUUUCUCUGCAAAGAAGAAGAAGGAGAAGGAAAAGAAGAAGAAGAGGAAGCAGAGGAGGAAGAGGGGGAAGAGGAGGAAGAAGGAGAAAGGAAGGAGGGAGGAAGAGAGGAAGGGUAGGAGGAAAGGAGGGAGAAAAUGACAGGUUAACCUGCCUCAAAUUGCCCAGGUUAUAAGAUAAAACUGGGGCUUAAACUGAAUUCUUUCUGAAGCUAAAGCCCACAGGGUUAGUCACUUUUGCUUCCUUUUCGUUUUAAAAAAAAAAGGAUGAAAUGACUAGAAGGGCAGCUAGGUAUCUCUUGCUUAACUGUAAGAAAUCUCAUGUCUCAUUCCUUCAGCAAAUUUAUUGAAAAUGUAUUCAGUGCCAGAUGUUACUGAACCAAGUAACUCAUUAUGAUUUUUAAAAGGGACUUGGAACUUGCCUCAAAUGUUUGCAAACAGUUAAGUCAAUUCUACCUGCUCCGCCUUCCAGUAUUUCUCUAAAACUAAUCUUCAGUAACUUCAUUUAUCACACUCUUCUGUGUCACCUUUGAGUUUUGAUUUGCAAGGCCAGAUUUGGGGGUGGAACUUCAGUUGAAGUCGAUGGAAAGGGAUUUAGUAACUCUACUAAAGAAAGUCUUGUCUGGAAGCAUAGGAGGAAAAUAACCUCUGUGUGAACAGAGUGAGAAAGUUCUUAUUGCAAAGUGUAAAAGCUUCUCUGCACAUCACUUUAUUCACUGGAGAAUGAUGAUGAUGAUGAUGAUGAUUACUACUAUUAUUCAUUUUUAGGGCAGGGCAUAGUAUUAUUCUUUAAAUGUUUGAAUGUAUUAAAACAUUAAAAAUGUAUUACCCAUGUAGCUAAGAAAGGGAAUGGGCUGGGUUAUCUCCCUUUCUCUUUUAUGUUUCCUUUUCUUUCUUUCUUUCUUUCUUUCUUUCUUUCUUUCUUUCUUUCUUUCUUUCUUUCUUUCUUUCCCAGAGGGAUGGUACUAAUUUUCUGUGUAAUUAUUUUAAGACUGAGUUAGAGAAUUAUCUUUUUCUUGAUUCUUUUCUCCUGUUGUGUUUACAAUUGAGAAGGUGAAAAAUCUUCUUAAUGAAUUGUGUCUAGACUAGAAACAGUUCUAAAGAUUGAAAGCCAGCCGCUGGGGUCAGUUUGGUUGUGGUGGUUGUUUUAGAACACAGGCUGGGUUUUCAGGGUCUACGCAAGCUUCCUCUGCAGUUAUCAGAAGGGGAAAAAUGUCUCAACUAUGAGUAUUCAUGAAAGUGCAGAAACAAAACACCAAUAUUUGUUUACGUGGAAGGAUAUUAUGAACAAUAUUUAGAAAAACAGUCUUUUGAAUUUAUCCCUAUAACAACUAAUAAUGUAGGAAAACUACAAAAAGACAUCCUUCUUUUAAAAUCACUAAUAAUUGCCUUUAUUGUUUCAAUUGAUGUAAAGUGACAUAAAAGCCAGUUUUUCCCUUCCAAAUCCCAUUUAAAAUGUUAAAACUACACCCAAAUUACAGCAUACAUACAAAGUUACAAUUAGGUGCACAUGGGUUGUCUUUUUAAUUUUAAUUACAGCAUAUUUAUAUAAUCAUUUUAUCCCUUUUAAGUCAAAGCACUUAUGUGAACUUGAGGGAUUCUUUAUAUUAUGCCAUAGUAAUCAUCAUAUUUUACUGGAUCAUAUCACAUCAUUUCACAUGAUUCAUUAAUGUUAUAAGGAAAGCACCAGAACAAGAGUCAAAUCGUUGAUAGUUUCCCUGAACAUUAGCUAAAACACCCCGGAUAAGCUAGGUGCAAGAUCUUUCAGAGUUUCAACAUUCUUAAAUAUAAAAUAGGAAUGAUAACAUCUGUUCUGCAUUUUCCAGGGUCACUCUCAAUGACAAAUUACAUGUCAGAAUUUUUUGAAAUUCUAAGAUACCAAUUAUUUUUAAGGAAAGAUUAUAAUUAAAUAUUUGAAAUAUAGGCCAUCACUCUAUUAUAAAAGAUUAAGCCUCUGCAAGCAAAGAUUUAAAUUUAUUCAUUUAAAAAUAUAUAAAGUUUUAUAUGCCAAUAAAUUCAUCUUUUAUAUAUUAAGGCAAAUUAAGAGGCCCUCAGAAUUAAAGACAAAUAUGAUUUUCUUAAUUUAAAAGAAGACGACAUUUGACUUGUGUACCAAGCAAGUCCUGUCAACAGAAGAUUAAUGACAUGCAUUAUUUAAAGACGACUUAACUUGGGAAUCACUCAGUAAAUAAGAAUGAUACAUCAUUAAUUUAACAUGUAUCAAUUAUGAAUAUUCUUUCAAUGUUAUUGAAGAUACUUGAUAACAAUUUGCAUAAUCUUGUAUUUUAAAUACUAAUUUUUGUAUUUCUGUUUACAUGAUCAUUUUUCUUAUUUCUACUUUGUGUAUCUGAAAACUGAGCCCAUUUUAACCUUUUUAAUCACCUUAAAGGACAAAUAAUACAUUAUAUAUAUGUCAGUGUAGAGGAGAUUUAUUACAUAGGCUCUGAAUUAGUAUUUUUUUUAAGUUUGUUGAUUUAUUUUGAGAGAGAGAAUCCCACGUGUUCUCUGCACUGUCAGAGCAGAGCCCAGCCCGAGGCUCCGUCUUGAGAACUGUGAGAUCAUGACCUGAGCCAAAAUCAAGAGUGGGAUUCUUAACCGACUGAGCCGCCCAGGCCACUCUGAGUUAGUAUUUCUAACACAUUAUUUGUAAGUGCAUUGCUAAAAAAGCAAUCCUACAAUAAUUCUGCAGCAAUAUUCUCAGCUAUUAUCUUCUUCCUCUGUGACGAGUACGCUUUCACUUGAAACGUGACACUAAAACUUGAUUCAUUUCAGAUCACACAAUUCUAAGUUUACGGAAAUUUAAAUGAGAACUUGUUAGAAGCUUAUCAUUACUUAUAAACCUACUUAUAAAUUCUGCAAAGCAGUUUUACAAAUAAUAUCCUGGAUGAUUAUUUAAAAUAGUUAGCAAAACAAAUUGUUUUGAUUGACAGAAACAUAAUUUGGAAGCAACCAUGUACAUGCAACAGUAUCAAUAUACUAAGUAUGAGUUGUUACUUAUUAAAAAUAAAUUCCUUAAGGAUGGACAACUGCUAAGUAACGUGCAAUUUUAAAGGUCGUUAUAAGUUUACAUAUACAACUAUAUAUCUCUUUAUAGAUAUAAUAAACGUAGUUAAAAAUCAAACCAGCUCUCCUCCAAAUAGAUUCAGAAAGUGUUAGCAAUGUACCUCUGUCUGUGUUGUUAAGUUGGAAAAUUGUCAAAAUCUCAAAUAUUUGCCUUACGCUCCAUUUUUAUUUCUAUAAUUUGCUUAGUGUAAGAUUAAGAAGUAAGAUUUGUAAUGCAGUAAUAACAUUUAAUCCUAUAUACAACCCCGGGGCAUCCCCUAACCAUGGCAGGUAAGAUAUUCAUUACUAAUGGUCCUGUAAUAAGCCUCAUAAUUCUUAUAAAUACAUGAAAUUUGUUGUCAUACACACACACACACACACACACACACACACAUAUAUAUAUACAUACAUAUACAUAUAUAAAACUUACAUUCUUUCAUUGCAGUCUUAAUUAAAAUGAUACUCUCAUGGGAAAGCAGGUGUGUGUGGUUGGAGUUUUACAAUGAAUUAGAAAAACACCAUGUUUUUCCAGGAUGGAUCCCUAAAUAGAAGUCAUGUCAUACUGUUAGCUCAUUACAGUCAUGUUCUUAGUUUGGAAUAUCUCGAGAUUUUAUUGUAGAUCCAUAAGCUAUAAAGCCUACAGUGGCUAAGUCUUUCUACUGAAAUGCACAGAGGACUAAUGAUAAAAUCAGGAGAUCUGUAGAUUCAUUUCAGUGAAAACUAUAAUUAAUAACCAGAUCAGAUAUUUAUUUGCGUCGGCAAAGAGCAUCAUUUUUGUUUCUUCUAUACAAGCCAAUGGGAAGACAGAUGAUACAUGGUUGUUUGGAGAUCAUAAAACCAAAAGAAAGAGGUAAUAUUCACAUAAUAUUCACAUUUUUAACAACAUCGAACUUAUAUACCCUGUUGUAACCAUCUUCAGUACAGAAAUCUAGCUGUCAGGAAGAAUAGGUCAGUUGGCCCAUCAGGCAUUCUUGGCCCUUAACACUGACAAUGCUGGUCUUUGUAAUUUUUUUUCUUCUCUGUCAUUCAUUCUCGUCUCAUCAACUAACCUUUUAAUUAACCAUUCUACUAAGUGAAAUAAAAUACUUUCUAUUAUUUAAGUGCCAGCAAUGUGCUAGACACCAUUCUAAACACUUUAUAUAAAUGAUCUCAUUAACCUGUAUCACUAUUUCUUUAAAAAUCCAAAAGUUUACACAUUAGGAAACCAAAUUUUGAACCAAUGAAUUAGCAAGACUGGAUUGAGAUAGCUGGUAAGCAACGGAUUUAGUACUCAAACCCAAGUAUGGUUGAAUGCAAACUGUAAAACUUCAUUCUCGAUGGCUGCUUAUUUCUCCUUAUGAUGGAGCAAUCUUGCUUGCAUUUUUAUCUGCAUUUUUGGGAGCGGAGCCCUUUCUCAGUUGUUCACUAGUACAACCAACAGUCUUAUUGCAGAUGAAAAAAAAAACUUAGUUUCAAAAAUAUCAAAUAAUUUGUUCCAGUUGCUCAGAGAAUAAAGACCACCACGGACUUGAACCUGGAUCCUCCAUAUCUAAAGCACAUCUUUUUUGCACAGAAGGUGUCCCUCUGGUCACCGCCCCCCCGCCCCGUGUGCCCACAAUUCACUGGCUGAGCAAACGAUGUCUUUGGAGUAGUUAUUUCAUUUGGAAGUUGCACUGGCUAAGUCCUUUAUAUAAAAUCUGAAACAUCUCACCAUCAUCAAGAGCAUGCAGUAAGUCAGUUCAGGGGAUGCGUUUUUCUUCAGUUCAUUUAUCCCACAAAUAAACCUACGAAAGCUCUCAUUUACCAUUCCAGAUAAUCUUUUCGUUGGAAUCGCUUUCUACGGGAGCCCUUUCAAUUAUCACAGGGACGGCUGGAGAUUUUCAUUUGGGGCAAAAUAACCUUUUACCUCUCACCUCAGCUCGUCAAAGCUACUUGCUAUUGUUGGGAUCUAAAUUACCCAGGAGUGAAAAAUUGUAGCAACAGCGGAAGAAAGGGUUCACUGGGAGGUCGAAACCUUUCUUUUUCUGUUGUAGAGAAAAAGGUAGGUAUUGUCGAGUAUAAAUUUACUUUGAAAGAUGUUGGGGCAACCAUGCAGUGGAAUAUAACAUAUCCUGUAAAAUAAUCUAUUUGUCUUUUUUUAAACAAAGAUAAAUAGAAAUGAUAUGCACAUAUGUUUGGUGUUCAUUUAUUUAUUUUGAGAGAGACAGAGACAGAGACAAAGCAGGCGGGGAGGGGCAGAGAGAGAAUUCCAUGCAGGCUCCACGCUGCCAGCACAGAGCCCAACAUGGGGCUCGAUCUCAUGGAUGCUGAGAUCAUGAGGUGAGCAGAAAUCAAGAAUCAGUCACCCCACAUAUGUGUAUGUUUGCUUGAGUUGUCUGCAUGGUAACUCUAAUAUUAGGUGAAACUUCUACGCACGGCAUGUAUUCAGAUUCAAUUUAAUGUGAAAUUAAGGAAGAUUACAAUCUGGGCAUCAGUGAGGCAGGUGUAUGAUUGCAAGUCUCUUUACUCAAUUCCCUCAUAAAAAUUUGGUUAAAAUCAUAUCCCUCCCCACAUUCCUCCCCCCCACCAGCCCUAAAAAGCUAAGAAAAUAAACUGAUUCCUUAUUAACAAAAUUUACUCAGCUCUAAACACAGUGCUCAUAAAUCGGUAUAAAAUGAAUAAAUGGGUAAACAAAAGGGUCAUGGACAAAUUGUUGACGUCAUUUACGAGAGAGCAUAAACAAAGAAGAAACAACUGUGGUGCCUGGGUGGCUCAGUCAUUUGAGCAUCGACUUCGGCUCAGGUCAUGAUCUCAUGGUCUGUGAGUUCAAGUCCCGUGUCAGGCUCUGUGUAGACAGCUCAAAGCCUAGAGCCUACUCUAGAUUCUGUGUCUCCCUCUGUCCCUCUGCCCCUCCCCUGCUUGUGCCCUUUCUAUCAAAAAUAAGUAAACAUUAAAAAAUAUUUUUAAAAAAUGAAGAAGAAACAACUGUCAUCAAAAGUGUAAAACAUUUCCCCAUUUUUUUUUCCAGUCUGAGGACUUGAGUCCUUUAGAAGAGAGUGGAGACUGCUUCAAAAACAAAACCUCUAUAAAAUUGUUUUCAAGAUAUUAGGCCUGGCUAGUUUUUAUUUCCACAAGCUUGGUUAAAAUCAUAGAAUUGUUAUUUCCAAUUUUCAGUUGACUCUCCAUUUUUUUAAUAUAUGAUUCAAUAAAAGUUUCGUUAUCACCUAACAUACUCACAGUGCCUUAGAGUUCAAGGUAAUGGAUUUGUCCUGUUAUAUUUGGAGGGCCCUUUUUCUUACAUGAGUGAUAGAAGGAUUGGCCACGUUGCUUCAAAUUCUUCUGUUGCGUAUACUAAUGCUUUCCGCACAUCACACUUCACUCCACAGGAUCUUGGCAAUGUGGACUCUCUUCUGCUUUGAUAAUUCUGAAUUUGCUAAUAGUUAUGGUAUUUUGCAUGUCUCACAGACGCAGUUGGUAUUCUGCUUUUGAGUCUUCUCCAACCAUAGAUGUGUAAAAGUUUAAAACAUGAUUUACACUCAAACAUCCUUAAAAGUACUUUUUUUUCUCUUUUUUCUUACAAAGAGGACUUCAUAUAAUCUUCACAGCAAUUAAAAAAUAUGUAUGCUGAUUUUAUUUUAUAGAGGAAGGCACAACGCCUAUUGUAGCAUAAGUGCUCAACGAGUCAUUAUUAAAUGACCAAAGAAAGCUGAAAGAGUUAAGUGACUUUUCUAAGUUCACAUAGAAAGUGAAUGUCACUUUCAUGUUCUAGUUUGGAAACUGAACCAUCUUACUGUUUCUAACCUACCCUUGGAAUAUUGGGAAAGCAUGUAUUGAGCACAAGUUAUCUGCUUGUGGAAGAAAAGUGCUCCGAAUUCACUUGUGAGUCAGCUAUUUUGCCUAAGGGCUCAGGCAUCUUUGAGUUCACCUAGGCAUGAAGACAUGCUUUUCAUUUACCUAGAUAGUUGAUUUAUUAAGGGUUGUUGUUUUCUAAUAUUGUAGUGUUGUUUUUUGUUGCCUUUUUAAUAAAGCAGAGUAAGGAAGUAGAAUUUCUGAAUCAUAUUAAUCUGAUCUAUUUUCUUGGAAUAAGAUUCGCAAAUGAUGGAUCUUUAAUUUUAACAUGAAUCACUCUGCUAGUCCUUCCUUACCUUUAUGACUUAAAGACAUUCAUAAUAGUUUCAGAGAGAGAGAGAGAGAGAGAGAGAGAGAGAGUGCAGGAGGGGCAGAAAGAGAGGGAGAGAGAGAGAAUCCCACACAGGCUCUGCACUGUCAGUCCUAAUGUCGGACUCAAACUCACAAAUGGUGACAUCAUGAACUGAGACAAAAAUCAAGAGUCAGACGCUUAACUGACUGAGCCACCCAGGCGCCCCUCAAUAUCCUUGCUUUAAAUAAUGGUAUAUGAGAUCAUUAUAUUCCUAAAAGAAAGUAUACAGAUUGCAAUGGACACUGAAGAUUGUUCUCUUGGCAUCAAUUUUCCCUCCUUCCUUUGUGAAUCUAGCCCUGCUCUGUAUACCUCUGUAAAAACUGAUCUCAUCUCCACUUUGGGCAUUAGGCUUAGUCUAGGCAAAGACAGUCAGCUUUGAAUUCAUCACCAAGUGACUCCUGAAGUCACAAUGAAGGCAAGGGCCUAUAUUUCUCUGUCUCUUGACAAAUAUGACUCUUGUGAUUAUCUCUUGCUGUAGUACAAACACCCCCUAAAUUUAAUGAUUGAAACAACCAUUAUUUAUUUUAUUCAUGAAUCUGCAAUUUGGACAAGGCUAGGUGACGAUGCCAUGCCUGUGUUCAAUAUGGCAUUAGCUGGAGAAGGAAUGGAAGACUAACUUCCAAGAUGGUUUAGUCACGAGGAUCGUAAUAUGGUGCUGGCUGCUUCCUGGGAACUUUGCUGGCAGCCCUCAGUUGCUUUUCACGUCGGGCUUGCUCCAAGGGCUGAUUACGCUUUUAAAUAAUAUAGCCACUGGCUUCCAAAACCAAGUGUUCAAAGCGAGAGAGGUCAAAACUACCAGUCUUUUAAGGUCUGGUCCUGAAAGUUGGCACAGAAUCCCUUCUGCCAUAUUCUAUUGCUCAGUUAGUCAGGAAGCCCACUUAGAUUCAAGAGGAGGUUACGUAGACUUCAUCUCAAGAUGGGAGGAAGGUCAAGUUAUUCAUGGUCAUCUUUAAUGUUACACAAUGAAUAAGAAAGCCUGACCAUUGCUAUCUUGCAAUCAAGAGAGGAACAAGCUUUAAAAUAAAUUUAACCUACUGGAUUCAGAGCUGAAAACAGAAAGGUCCUGGUUUCUUGAAAGCAGUGAGCCACUCACUCAACCUAUCCUGGAACCUUCAUUAUGGCUAGGCUUCCAUUUCUGUAAGACAAUCAACGAAUUCAUUUUUAGAACAAAUCUGAGUCGGGAUAUUUUGAAGUUGCUCUUUAUAACAUUCUAACUUAGACAGAGUUAUGGCAGGAUUUAGAAGACAAUCUAAAGUUUUGACUGGUUUACAAUAAAAAAACACCUUAUAGUUAAAUCUCUGUACACCCAAAACUAAUAUAACACUGUAUGUUAAUUAUAUCUCAAUUAAAAAUUUAAAAAUAAAAAUAAAAGACAUAAUACAUUAAUAAAUUAUAAUUAAAAUGGGAAAAGGAAGUAUAUGAACCAUUAAAAGAAGAAGUACAAAACCUCCACUGACCCAAUAGGGGUUAGGGGGGCUGAGCCUCCGAAUACCCACACAGUUGAAAAUCUCUGUAUAACUUUUGACUACCCCAAAACUUAGCUACUAAUAGCCUACAGUUGAUCAGAAGCCUUACCAGUAACAUAAACAAUUGAUUAACAUAUAUUCUGUAUAUGUAUUGUAUACUAUAUUUUGUAUAUGUAUUGUAUACUAUAUUUUGUAUAUGUAUGGUAUACUAUAUCCUUGUAACAAAGUAAGCUAGGGCAAAAUAAAUACUAUCCAGAAAAUCAGAAGGAAAAGAAAAUACAUUUACAGUGCUGUACUAUAUUUACUGAAUAUACGCAGUUCAAACGUGUGUUGUUCAAAGGCCAACCGUAUUUAAUAUCUGUUUAUUUCAUAUGAGUCGUACUAAAUUAAUUAUUAAACAUCAAAAGAACAACUGAAGUAACGUAAUUAAUAAUAUGUCAAUUCUCUAGAGCCCAAUGAAAGUUCUUUUAUUAUCACGGGUGGAUAGUCAUAAAUUACUUGAUUUGUUUGUUCUACAACCUCUGUAGCAGAUUUUUAACUACAUACUAAUUAAUGUGCUAAUGGGAUUUGAACAUUAAUUGGUAUCUUACAAAGUCUUGAGAAUUAUUUAAAAAUUGUGAUGCUAUACAAGUCUUAGAAAUAGUUGACUGAUUUGUCACGUUAUCAAUCAAAAAAAAUGUUAAUAUCAGAAAGUUCCAAAUCUGCCAUCAAUAAUAAUUUGGGCCUAGUGUUAUUAUCAUUAGUAAAAAUUACUAAAUUCCACAAAAUUAUUUUCUAUUUGCGCAUACUGAUUUUUGUUAAUUCCAGUUGUCUUAUUGUCAAAUGGAAAUAAUAGCCAGAGGAGCUGUUAAGUUUAUUUCCUUCCUUCUUUCCCCUUCCCCCUUCCUUCCUUCCCUCCUUGCUUCCUCCCUUCCCUCCUUCCUUCCUUUCUCCCUUCCUUCCUUCCUUCCUUCCUUCCUUCCUUUUUUAAAAUUAUUGACUUCUUGGUAUAAAGAACUGAAUCGAUAGUACUGUUUAUAUCCACUGAGAUGGUGGUGUUAAAACUGUUUCUUUAUAAGUAUUAUCUGAGGAAUUUAUGUGACAGAGUCAAACUCCACACCCCUCGAGAUUCUACUUUGAUGAUUGUGGAUGAAAUCUGCAAAUUUCAAAUGUGUCUGAAAUUAACAAGUGUCUGAGGUAACUCUGUGCAAGGAUGACUCCUAGAGAAAAGACCUGGUUAGUGGUAAGAGGAGGGGAAUGGAAUGAAAGGAAAAAGCAAGAAAAGAACUAAAUGUAGAUCCAAAUAUAACUAAACAUAGAUCAGUUAGCCCACAACUUGCCAAAAGUAUAGGUUUUAAUUCCUAAUGAUAACCAUGAGAUGCUGCAGUAUUUUAUUUUAUUUGUUUUUUUUUUUAAUGUUUAAUGUUUAUCUAUUUUUCAGAGAGUCAGAGACAAAGCAUGAGAAGGGGAGGGGCAGGGAGAGAGAGGGAGACACAGAUCCAAAGCAGGCUCAAACUCAUGAACCACGAGAGAUCAUGACCUGAGACAAAGCUGGAUGCUUAGCUAACUGAGCACCCAGGCUCCAGAGAUGCUACAAUGUUUUAAAUCAUGUCCUAAAUCAUUAGAUAAAAAUUUGGUCAAAAUAAUGUUUUUGCUACAGCAUUCAAGUAUGGUUGAAAAAUUUUUAAAGAAAGGAAAAACAUGAUUUUGAUGACACUUAUCUGAUACCAGAAUAGUUUCUGAGAAUGAAGUAACAUAUUAUUUUUAAAUUCAUAUUUGAAAAAAAAAAACAACAUUGUGUAUGCAAUAUACUGAAGUAGGGAUGUGGCUUGGUAAAAAUUAUCCUUAAAAUUUUUAAGUGACUCAUAAAAUAAAGUAUGUAUACGUAUAAAAUCCUGAAAACAAUAGUGUAUAGAAUAAAAUGAGAGUAGCAGCCCCAUCCGCCACCAUCCUCUUUAUCCCCCCCCCCUUUUCAUUAAGUUGACUGAGUCAAAACUGUGUCAUUUAAAUACAGACUGUUAUUUGGAACCCUAAAAGCAGUAUUUUACUUCCUCGGAAUGUAAAUGUCCUCAUUUUUAAAAAUAAGGACUUUUAUGGGAUGGUUACUAAUGUUUUAAAUGACUCCUUCCUCUCUCCUCCUAACCCCCCACCCCCACACCCAUACACAUCGAAUCACUACACUCUGAUGUUCGUCACACACACACACAUACACACAGACACACACACUCAAUCACAUCCAUCCAGAAUUAUUACAUGUUUGAUAUCAUUUCAGAAGAUUUGCAUAUAAGAUAAUUCAAUCUAUCAAUAUGUACAAUCAGCUCUCUCAAUGCCAACAUCCUCGUCAUCAUAUGCGGAUAUUUGGAAACGACUGAACAACAAAAUAAAUAUUCUGAUUCUGUAUUUCACAUAUUUUGCCAAUGAAAUCGAUGAAUUUGAAUAUAGGUUUCAUAUUGCUGAAUCUAUUAACUGACAAUAUAAGAUAAUCUUUUGUCUUCCCUCCAGUCCAAGUAUUUAAUGUUUCUUUGAGAAACAGAAGAGUUUUGGUACCAACACAGGGGCAUCUCCUAUACUGAUGAAUAAAUCUGGAAAUAAUAUGUGUUAAAAAGCUGCUUUAGUCUCCAUUGUAAAAAUUAGGAAAAAAAAUAGUAUUGACAGGGGAAAUAUAACAAAAAGCAUGUAAUAAAUGUAAAUAUUAUGCCUGUCACAAUAGUGAACAGAUAUAGAAUAAAUGAAGUAAUGCGAACUUACUACAAUUUUGUCCUAUAGACCCUGGUGUAUAUCAUUUUUACUGUACUAGAUAAGAAUCUAACACCACUGUAUUUCUGAAAAAAAAAAGUUAUGGCCUCUUUGGUAUUGUAAAUUGACAAAAUUUUCUUCUUUCAGUCAGAGUUUCAUUACCAGCUUAUGAAAGUAUUAUAACUUUGCAUAUAGUAAAUUUUAGACAAAUAGAUGAUACUUCACAAAGGAUAAGUUGGGAUCGUAUUUUACCGGGUGGUCUCGCGUGCAGAAAAUCUUCAGCAUGCUGAGCACAUGGAGAACAUGUCCCUGCAUAAAUGGUGAACAUUAGAAUCAUUAACAUUUAAAGAGGCAACUCUGGGGGGAAAUAAGGAAUGGAAGUUCAAAGGAAAGUUGGAGAUUGAACAGUUUAGAAAAUGUUCCUCUUCUUUUUACUCUUCCUUAUUCUAUCUCAUCUCCAUCUUCAAAACCUACUUCCUGAGGCUAACCAGUAGGGUGAGACUCUGAUUAAAGCACAUGAUACUGAAGAAUUAAUACUCUGUAGACUUGACUUCCUCUCAUGGUGCAUUUACUUGCUGGGAGUGGUAAAAUCUUUAAUUCGGUGACCUUGGGGCCUGGCGUAUCAUGCGCCAGGCUUCCGUCGCUGGGCCAAUCCCUCCCUUACACACAUACACACAUACACACAUUAAUUAUCGCCUACAACAUCAGUCCUAACAAGUCACAAACGUUAACCCGUACCAGUUCAGCUUAGAGAUAUCAAAAGCUAUCUAUCCUUCUUCAUCUCCAGGUUCGAUUGUAAGCACAAAAUGCGACACUGAAGUCUCAUCUUGGUGAAUGUCUGGGAGCUUGUGUUGGCUUAUCAGCUUGUGUCAACUCAGCCUAAAAAGAGAACUGGGUCUAACAUAGGAACGCCUGAAAACCGAUUCCAGUGAUGGAAAGCAAAAAUACAAGUCUGUUUCUGAGAGAGCUAAGUUUAACGUUCCAACCAGGGAGAUGUACUUCUACCCGGAACCCUAUACCAUCAUGGAGUUCUUUCCAAGGGAAUGCGUUGUCGACAGCACCGUCAUAUUAUUAGGACUUUACGGCUAAACCCUGUUACAUUAAUUCCAACACCCUGAGUUCUACCUGACAGUGGUUUUCGUUAGUGUGUAGCUCCCCAAUAUGAAUAAAUAUAAGCAUCAUAAAGAAUAUUCCCUUCCACAGCCUUUCUCUUCAGUUAAGUGGUCUCAAGAUCUCCUCAGAUUUUAAAAUCAAGUAUUAAGGAUUCUAUCUGGAAGAGAAUCCCUGGGAGCUGAGGCAGAAAUCCUGUGCUCUACAAUGAUGGUUGACAAAAAUGAGAUUUAUGAUGUUGGAAAGCCACGAGUCCUCCCUGUAUUUUUUUUCUCUGUAAAAUAUGAAAAAAAAUCUUGUCAGGCCCAUAAGAGUUGUUACAAGGUUUCCAAAAACAAAAAGUAUUUGAAAUGAAUUUGAAGCACAUUAUAUUAAAAGAUAUUACCAUUAUCAAAAUAAUUACUGUUUUUUGAUAGGAAGUUUCUCCAUCAGGGAAUCUCUACUGAAAAGACUAUAAGAAGUGACCUUGGAUAACCAAUGACAAAGCGUAUCUUAUAUACCAUUCUAAAAAGAUGCUCAAACAGCCAUGUUUCCACUUUCUAGAAAAUACAAUUUGACUAUUUAUUCAAACUCAAUCUUGCCCUUUACUCAUCUAAUCUUGAUAGGAUUGUUUAAUCUUGUGAAACUCUCACUUUCCAAACUUGAUUUUUUAAAAUUGGUAUUUUCUUAUUUAACAGCCCUCUCUUUCAGCCUUAUUUAUUAGUGUCCUUUUUUUUUUCUCCCACCCCCAACCAUGGGAGUGCCUAAUCUGAGUCCCUUGUCCCUUGCCUUCUCGGUCUAUACUCAUUUCCCUAGGUGAUUGCAUUUAGGAUUAUAAUUUCAAAUACCAUCAAACACUAAUAAAAGUUUAUCACACUCAAAUAUUUCUCUUCUCUUAAUUCAAUAUAACCAUAUUCAUUUGCCCACAGUACAUCUCCAGUUGAGUGGAUAACGGGCAACAUAAAACUAUUUUACUGAAUCUCUAAAGCUUCAUCCACUUCUCACGAACAUACACAGUCACCCUCACCUCAUUUGUUCAGUUUGCAUGACCUAAAAACCAGGGAGUUAUCUUUGAUUUCUUUCUCCCUCAACACCCACACACAUAUAUCCUCAGAAUUAAGUAGAAAUAUUGAUAAUACCUGAGUUUUAUUUCAGUGUUAGAAAAAAAAAUGAUAAAAAUGGUUUGCAAUGGACAGUAUUGCGGAAAAAUAAUGUUGUUCUCUACUUGUAUUCUACCAAGCCAAGCCUUCAAUAAACUCCAUGCGUAUGAAUCAAAUAGACAAUUGUUUGAUGUCUGACUAUAAAUGCUUAAAUGGAAGAAACAGCCUUUUGCUCACAACCCACAGUUAAUUUAUGCAAUAGACAUUUAUUGUUAAGAGACUGUUGUACACAUAUUAAUGGCCCAUCAAAGAUAUCAUGUCCUGAUCCCCCAAAUCUGUGAAUAUGUAACUCUACAUGGUAGAUGGGACUUUGCAGGUGUGAUUAAGUUAAGGAUCUUUUGAGGGAAAGAUUAUCCAGGUGGGCCUAAUACAAUCACAAUAGCCCUAAGAAGUGACAGACAGAAGGGUCAAAGUCACACGAGGAGGUGUGAUGAAAGAAGCAGGGGUUGAAAUGACAAGAAGGAGACAUGAGCCAAGGGAAUCCCUGGAAGCUGGGAAAGGCAAAGAAUCAGGUUCCAUCACCUUCAGAAGGAACACAGACCUUGAUUUUAGGACUCCUGAUCUUUAGAAACUUAAGAUAAUAAAUCCUUGUUUUUAGAACUGUGAAGGAAUAAAUUCAUAGUAUGUUAAGCCACUAAAUGUGUGAUAAUUUGUCACCACAAUAAAAAACAAAGAAACAAACAAAAAAUUACUAUUGAUUCUGUGUGAUGAGCCCAGUUCUAGGUGAUAGAAAUCCAUAGAUAAACAAAAUAGAGGACCCUGUUCGAUAUUUUGCUCUAGGCUUGACAUAAAUUCAAGUCUCUUUUUACAACAACUUUACAAGGCAGCUAUAAUUAGACCCUUUUAAUAGAUGAAGAGACCGAGAGUCAGACUAAUGUGUCACACAGCUAAUAGGUGAGCCACCUGUCUCCAGAGCCUGUGUUCUUUAUACUCAUUAUCCACUUUAUGUCUUCCAAACAAUGAGAGAAUACAUGGUAGUGUAACGUAGGAUUAUGCACGAAAGAGUCAUUUGCUGCCAUAUGGUUUGUUAGGCGAUUAUGGAGGGAGAUAGGAGAAAAGAAAGCAAGUAAAGAGAAGAGGCUUAAUUCGCAUCAAUACAUUUAUACAUCUGAAGAGUCAAAAUGGAACUCACAUAACACAAGAUGAAUCCAUCUAUGUACCCAAAUCCACUAAAAAAUAAAACAAAACUUUUCCAUUUUAUUGAAAUAUUCUUUGGUAGGUAACUGCCCACAGGCACUAAUUUCAGAUUUUUGUUUGUGUUUUCUAUGUGGCUUUUUAUGUAUGUUUCAAAAGACUAAGACAAAGCAGAAAUGAUGUCAUUACAACAUUUUUCUUAACACACUUAUCGCUAGUUAAGUAUUUGGGAAAUCAUUGUGUUAGAGUGGAUUUUAGUAAUUACUUAAGAGGCCAGUGAUAGAAUUCUCUCUUCUCAUCUCAAAUGCUUUCUCGGCAACCAUUUCCCCAUACUACUUACUUCACUUUUUCUUCUUACAUUUGCUGCUGGACGUAGGUUCCCAUUAUGAACCUGGCAAUUAAGGGGAUGCAUAUUUCUCUUUAUCAGCUUUGCCUAUAAACAGAAGACUAAUGAUAACUACUUUCAUUCUACUUCAAAGCUACUUUAAUUCAUGGAUAAAGUUCAUAUUACUUGAUAUUUAGUGAUAAAAACAUGUUAUAUGGACUGUGAAAUUUUUGUUACUUAAAAGGGAUAGAAAGAGCCUGGGAAUAUACAGAGGUGGGUCGGGUUUAUAGUCUCUGAAUGUAUUUAACAAAUGAGAAAAUUAUAAAGUGGUUCUCUGCAUUUUAUGGAAAAAAAUACUCAGAAAUUUUUACCUCUUCAUCUUGAAUAAGAAAGAAUAAUGCUUGAAUUGCGUUAAAAUUAUAGACACUGCUUUAUGUUAGGAGAUAUAAUUUUAACUAAUCUGGCUUUUUAUUUUAUUUUAUUCUUUUUUCAACAUUUUUAUUUAUUUUUGGGAUAGAGAGAGACAGAGCAUGAACAGGGGAGGGGCAGAGAGAGAGGGAGACACAGAAUCGGAAACAGGCUCCAGGCUCCGAGCCAUCAGCCCAGAGCCUGACGCGGGGCUCGAACUCACGGACCGCGAGAUCGUGACCUGGCUGAAGUCGGACGCUUAACCGACUGCGCCACCCAGGCGCCCCACUAAUCUGGCUUUUUAAAUAAUAGGAAAAUUUAAAAGGAAGGAUAAAAAUACAUUUAAAAAAGCUAUUUGUGGAUAAAAUAUAUUAAUACAUUUCCACUUGUGUUGAAUACAUAUUUUGGUCAAAAGCAAGUUGAGGAACCACAAGAUUCACAGAAGUUGCUCUUAGCCCUGGGCUCAUCUUUAUUAUUAUUAUUAUUGUUGUUGUUGUUGUUGUUACUGUUGUUAUUACUAAUUGGAAAACAUAUUUCUUAAAUAAUGAAGAAAAGUAUCCCUUCAUAAAGCAUGUCUUGCCUGAAGAUUCUUUGACUAGGGUGAAAACAAUGUUUUUUCAAGCUCAUUACUUCCUUUCCCUAAAAUAAUUCAUUUUAAAAAGUCAUUAGCCUAAUAGAAAGGAAUAGAUAGAGGGCCUGUAGGGAUUCUACUCUAAAUCUCAGGGAUUUGCCUCAUUAAAAGUCAAUUGCAGAACCAAAGCCUCAUCAUGUACGUGUGUAUAUGAGGGAGAGACAGUGAAAGAAAAGUAUGGAUAUAUAAAUCUUGCCCAAUUUUAUUUAAAUAUUUCUGAAAACUAAAAAUCAUUUUAAAUGAUAUUAACAAAGAAUUCUUCUUUGAGACAUUGAUAUUUUUCUAAACAAAAAUAUAGUGUUACUUCUGGGUGUUAUUGUUAUAAAUCUCCAAGAGCUAAGUCUCAUUAUGUCUCAUAGCCAGGUUAGAAAUUUCAUUUUCUAAUAGUUUCCUUAUAAAUUAAGCCUUAAAAUUGCCUCCAUUAUUUCUAUGACUCCACCACAAAUUCAGCAAUGAGCGAGCUUAAUAAAUUGGAAACAUUACCCUACGAUGUAUAUGUCAUGGAAAGAAAAUAAAUAUAUGCCGCCUGCGCAUUUAGUUUUUCAUUCUAAGAAAAAGAAAGGAGUUUGCCGAAAAUGGAAAGCUAAGAAUCUUGGAAAACGAUGGUAAUAACAUACCUAGCACUUUUUUAAGUACUUCUUUUCCCAUUAUCGUAAGCUAUGUAAACACCAGUGUGCUUGAUAACCUGGGCUUUAUAAGAAGCACUACCUGGAAGACAGUGAAAUAAUCGAUGUCUGUUUCCUCUCUCAUUGGAGUCUUGAUGAGCUAUGUUUCUAUCAACUGAUGUUACUUCCAAAGAUUUCAUGUCAGAGGACAAAGACCAUACGGACAAGGUCAUCCUUGACAGUAGACAAAGGAAAUGGCCACAAUGACAUAAUGAUGUCUACAGUUGUUUCAGAGAAACAAAAGUAAAAUCUGAGACGAACGUUGCCUUCUCUUGUACCUAGUGAAGCAGUUUUUUCAUUAAUGAAAGGAGGCAAUCUAUUCAAUGUCUUAGAACAUAUAUCUUGUCGGGGGCGCCUGGGUGGCUCAGUAGGUUAAGCAUCUGACUGUUGAUUUUUGCUCAGGUCAUGACCUCACAGUUCGCGAGUUUGAGCCCCACCUCAGGCUCUGUACUGACAGUGCAGAGCCUGCUUGGGAUUAUCUCCCUUUCCCUCUGCCCCUCCCCUGCUCGUUUUCUCUCUCUCUCUCUCUCUCUCUCUCUCUCUCCUUCUAAAGAAAUUAGCAAUACUUAAAAAAAGUUUCAAAAAGAAUACAUGUCUUGGGUAUUGCCAUUAUUUCCUUCUUCUGGCUAUUUCUUCUGAAAUUAUCUUUUACCAAUGAAAUGUUGAAUAUAUAAGAUGCUAUGACAGAUAUUGCUUUCUUCUUUAGGUUCAAAAGCAGCAGUUGGGUUUGUAGGGCACACAUCAGUUGAAAACAUGUCAUAGAGUCAAAGGCACUAGUUGAAUCUCAGAGCUAGAAUCAAAAGCUGAUAUAUAAAUGACAUGUCCAUAACAUUGGAGGAUCAGGCCCGCAAGGAACUUAAAAUGUGGGGAAUAGAUAGAUAGGUAGAUAGAUAGAUGGAAAGAUAUUCUGACAUGACAAUAUCCCAAUAAUGGCUAAGAACAUAGUCCACGAUAUGUAGAUAUAGAUAUAGAUAUAGAUAUAGAUAUAGAUAUAGAUAUAGAUAGAUAUAGAUACACAAAAUAUAUAUAUUUACUGCUUAUAUUAUUUGUAAAUCCCUUCUGAUUCAGUGAUCAUUCUCGGGAAAACUACCUGAAUAAUCUAAUACUAGGUAAAUUGCAACAGGGCACCCAGAGAUUCUUACCAAUCAUUUUUUUAAAAACAAAUUUUUGAAGUAACUAUCAAUUACUCAAAAAUAUACAGAGGGAAAAAUAAGGAGUGUAAGUGACUUACCCAAAUUGAGCUAGGACAUGGAAAAAUGCAAAAGUUUUUUGGUUUCAUGGCAGGUCCUUACAGUGUUUCUUGUCCUCUUAAUUAUGUGAAUGUAUUUAGGGAAAAUAACGUAGUAGUAGGGGUUAAAUAAAAGUCUCAUAAACAGAACAAGGCACCUUUAAACGUGCAGGCUUUUUACAAAUACAUUAUUAUAGGAAUUCUCAGGAGACAGACUCUCAAAUUGCGCUGACUCAAGUUCAGGAUCCAUGAUACGAUUUGUUUCCACCACCUUAAUCCGACUGACAAUGCUUUAUGUUCUGUUUUGAGUUUUUAUUUUAGUAACUCUCCUGAAAUAAAUCUGAAAAUAGAAAGCAGCAAAACCCUGAUUAAGCAUGUCUACAAUGUAGGAGUGCCCUGAAUUUGUAUGGAACAGGGAAACUAUUUCUAUCUUUGAAAUUUUCUGAGUAUAUUCGGUUCAAUUCAGAAUACAAUUCAGUUCAGGGCGCCUGGGUGGCUCAGUCGGUUGAGCGUCCGCCUUCGGUUCUGGUCCCGAUCUCACUGUUCUUGAGGCUGUGAGUUAGAGCCUCCUGUGGGGCUCUGUGCUGACAGCUCGGAGCCUGGAGCCUGCUUCGGAUUCUGUGUCUGCCUCUCCCUCCGACCCCUCCCGCGCUUGUGCACUCUCUCUCUCUCUCAUUUCAAGAAUAAAUAAGCAUUUUUUUUUUAAUUCACUAGUUACUGGGGCACCUGGGUGGCUCAGUCGGUUAAGCGUCUGACUUUGGCUUAGGUCAUGAUCUCACGAGCCGUGAGAUCGAGCCCCAUGUCGGGCUCUGCAGAGCCUGCAGCCUGCUUUGGAUUCUGUGUCACCCUCUCUCUCUGCCCCUCUCCUGCUCAUGCUUUUUCUCUCUCUGUCAAAAAUAAACAAAAAUUAAAAAAAAAAAUUAAAAAAGAAGAGUCUUUCAUUUAAUAGAUGAUCAUUAAAUCACUGUUGGGACAAAAAAUACCCUUUUACUUAAUUUUUUAUUUCUUCAAAUGUAAUUUAUUGUCAAGUUACCUAACCUACAGUAUAUACAGUGUGCUCUUGGCUUCGGGAGCAGAUUCCCAUGAUUCAUCACUUACAUACAACACCCAGGGCUCAUUCCAACAAGUGUCCUCCUCAAUGCCCAUCACCCAUUUCCCCCCUACCCCACACCCACCCCCUAUCAACCUUCAGUUUGUUCUCUGCACUUAAGAGUCUCUUAUGGUUUACCUCCCUCUCUGUUUGAAACUAUGUUUCCUCUUCCCUUCCCCAACCUUUUAAAUGUGCAAAGCACUUAUCCCUUCAUUGUUAUAAUGAUAAAAAUAAUUUAAUUUAGUUUUAGACAGCUUUCAGUUCAAAAAGGAGAGAAAGAACUUGGAAGUUGGCCUGUUUGUGCUUGGUUAAUAUAUGUAUGUCCUAUCCUAAAGAAAUCUGAUCUCACUUCAAUAUUUGCAGAAAGAUAUGCCAUUUAUUAAAAACGCAGGGGCAGUCAUUUUAUUGCAAGUGUUCUUUGCGUAACAAAAUAGAUCCAUUCAGCAAAUAUUUAUGGAGCAUCUUCUGAGCUCCGGGCAAUGAAAGAGAUAGAGGAGAUUCAGAAAUGAAUAGGAUAAACUGAAUUUCUUUAAGAAACUCAUAAUCCUAUGUGAGAGGUAUACAUUGGAAACACUGCAAUACAAAUUCCACUCAUGUAACAGAAUUUUAGUACAAUUUUAUAGGGACAUUGAAGAAAGAGCGAUUAACUCUGACAGAGAAGCCUUGGAAAAAUCUUCACAAAAACGUUUACAUUUCCAGUGGGUAUAAAGGGAAAACAGAUGAUUUAAAGGCAAAGAAGUAGCUGAAAACCCCUGAAGAAUGUAUCUUGGAGCAGUGAAUUCAUUGGAUAUUUGCAUGUGAUUCCCUUUAUGAAAUAAAAUACCAAUGGCAACACAAAAUUCCAUCUUAGUGAUAUUGUAAGUAAGGUAAACAUUUUUCCGGUUUUGGUUUAGAGAAUCAUUAAGUAACAUUGGUGUUUACCCAUGUCUAUUUACAUACUGAUCCAUCAGGACAAAGGAGGAAAGGACUGGAACAUAAUCUUCUCUGACGCUAAUGUUUCUUACUGGUGCGGUUAUUGACAUAUUAGGCGGGAAAAUUGUGUUUUGUAGGAUAUUUCAUAUCCAUGGAUCUCAGAUGCUACGUACAGGUCAUAUACUCCAGUUACUUUGCAACAAAAACACAUUUUUACAGUUUCAAUAUACAAAAUGAGUGUGAAGGAAUGGGUGCUUAUGGCACCUUGUUGAGAAAACUGAAAACCCAUAACAUGGUUUGGUAAAACCUUGGGUCCAUAUAACAACCCUAUGUUACCUGCUCUCUGGAGAAAAGUCCUCGAAAUUCUUCACGCAACUUUUUAAGUUUUCCUAAUAUGUGUCUGGUAAGGCUAUACUUCUGAAGGCCUAACUAUCACCAUUCUUUUACAGGGAGUUGUCUUAAGAGACAAAACGUGACAAGGAGAAGGAGGAGGAAAUGGAGGAGGAAGAGGAGAAAGUUCCAACCCCUUACUUUUAGGAAACAAAACUAAUCUCAUCGUGCUUUGCAUCCUAAUUUAUCUUGGUCAAACCCAUGAAUUAUAAGAAAACUUCAAAAUCCCCCUCUUUAACACAUUCGAUUCCCAUAUGGUUUUGGAUCUACCCUAAUCUCCCCCAUUGUCCCACUUCGCUGACCUCCUUCUGGGAAUUCCGUCCAUGACUGUUUCACCGUCUGUGGCUUUGAUGAAAACAUUGCACGUCUCCUCACAUGACUUCUAUUUCCUAGCCCGUCUCUGUGAAUGUAAUCCUGCACAUCGUUCCCACUCCCUUUCUCCUUUGUCCCUCUCCAGUAGAUGAGCCUCACAUAAUCCAAAUCCCUGUUAGACCUGGC
rnacentral:lncRNA from 1 species